AAAAAAAAAAAAAAAAAAAAAAAAAAAAAAAAAACAAACUAUUCUCCGAACUCAUCGUUUUAACAUUUAAAAAUCAAUUUCCCCUUGGCUUGGGGCUUGCGCAAAUUUUGUAAUGAGGGGUUUUGGCUGGAUUAAAAGAGAGUAAGUUAACACGUAGAUUCGGUUCAAGUUAGGUUUAGGGAAUUUGAAUAAACAAAUAUAAAUAUACAAGUAUUUGUCUGUUCAAAAAAGAAAAAAAGAUCAUGAAGUACGAUGAGUUUUGCAGACUACCCAAUUUGAAGUCGUAUGCGAAUAUUUACGAGGGUUAUUUGUCUGUGAGCAAGCAAGAAUUUUAUAGAAUUUAAUAUAAAAUUGUAGUUUUAAUUAUUUAUCUCAUUGUAAAUAUCAAUAAUUCAUUAAUUAUCUUCUGGAAUAACAGUUGUUAAUAGUUGUAAAAUAUUUGAUGUAAUAUAAAUUGUUAAAGAAAUGCAACGUCAAAAUUCAC
rnacentral:lncRNA from 1 species